rnacentral:rRNA from 1 species
AUUGAACGCUGGCGGCAGGCCUAACACAUGCAAGUCGAGCGGAUGAAGGGAGCUUGCUCCUGGAUUCAGCGGCGGACGGGUGAGUAAUGCCUAGGAAUCUGCCUGGUAGUGGGGGAUAACGUCCGGAAACGGGCGCUAAUACCGCAUACGUCCUGAGGGAGAAAGUGGGGGAUCUUCGGACCUCACGCUAUCAGAUGAGCCUAGGUCGGAUUAGCUAGUUGGUGGGGUAAAGGCCUACCAAGGCGACGAUCCGUAACUGGUCUGAGAGGAUGAUCAGUCACACUGGAACUGAGACACGGUCCAGACUCCGACGGGAGGCAGCAGUGGGGAAUAUUGGACAAUGGGCGAAAGCCUGAUCCAGCCAUGCCGCGGGUGUGAAGAAGGUCUUCGGAUUGUAAAGCACUUUAAGUUGGGAGGAAGGGCAGUAAGUUAAGACCUUGCUGUUUGGACGUGACCAACAGAAUAAGCACCGGCGAACUUCGU